GCCCACGUAGCAUAGCGGCUAAUGCGUUGCACUUGUAUUCAAUCGUCACAUGCAAAGAUCGUAGGUUCAAGUCCUGCCGUGGGCA